UAAACUCAAAUGAAUUGACGGGGGCCCGCACAAGCGGUGGAGCAUGUGGUUUAAUUCGAAGCAACGCGAAGAACCUUACCAGGUCUUGACAUCCUUUGACCACUCUAGAGAUAGAGCUUCCCCUUCGGGGGCAAAGUGACAGGUGGUGCAUGGUUGUCGUCAGCUCGUGUCGUGAGAUGUUGGGUUAAGUCCCGCAACGAGCGCAACCCUUAUUGUUAGUUGCCAUCAUUCAGUUGGGCACUCUAGCAAGACUGCCGGUGACAAACCGGAGGAAGGUGGGGAUGACGUCAAAUCAUCAUGCCCCUUAUGACCUGGGCUACACACGUGCUACAAUGGGAAGUACAACGAGUUGCGAAGUCGCGAGGCUAAGCUAAUCUCUUAAAGCUUCUCUCAGUUCGGAUUGCAGGCUGCAACUCGCCUGCAUGAAGCCGGAAUCGCUAGUAAUCGCGGAUCAGCACGCCGCGGUGAAUACGUUCCCGGGCCUUGUACACACCGCCCGUA
rnacentral:rRNA from 1 species